AAGGAGCGGUUUGCAUCCACAAGCUGUCCACUGCAUUCUCCAUGCAGUCCUUCCCAUGCAUAGGACUGUGUACACAAACUUCAGUGUAGGAAAGGGUCAUAGCUCAGUGAUGAGACCUUCUGAAUGCAAAGCAGAUGCUCUAAGUUCAGUACCCAGCAUCUCCAGCAGGUCCCAGGGUGGUGAGCAGAUCCCAGCAGAUGUUAAUGGACUACAGUUCCCAUCUUCUGUGACCACUGGCCAUGCUGGCUGGGGCUGACUGGAGUUGGAAUCUACUAGCAUUUGUUGUUUCAAAUGCCAUACCCAGGCGGCCUGCACACAAGUCACUAAAAAAAUGCGGCAUGAACCUUUCCCUGCAUGUUGGAUCAUUCAAGGAGGUCUUUUAAAAAAGAAUAAAGGAUAGACAUGCCAUCCCUUCUUCUAUGCAAAUCAUUGCUUCUGACAUGAGAUGUCUCUUCAAAGCAGAAUGCCUUAUUAUAAACUAAUUCUUUACUCCUGCUGUGUAAAUGAUGUAAUAUUUUUAAUGUAUGUCUCUUGUUUCUAUACAUGACAAACUAUAUUCAACAAGCACAGCUGUGUAAAAUGCGAGAGAACAGACUGGUCUUUCAUUUCAUUUCAUUAUAUUAUUUUUUGCCAGUAAAACAAAGACCAAUAUCUUUAGCUGCAACCAAUUCUCAGUCUCCUAAACCUUUUGCAGAUGUUACAUUAGCAUUUUAAUAUUAAUCUUGAUUACUUUAUCUCCCAAAGAUCAUGGCAAGCUGUUGCUGCAGAAUGUAAGAUGUUUGGGGAUUGAAAGUAUGCACUGGAUCCUCCUUGCCUGAGGGCUGUUCUGCAAGCACUUUGUGAUAUGGAGAACAUAUAAGUGCAGAAGAUUAUGAUAAAUGCUGCUUAGCAUGAAGCAAACCUCAGACUGCAUUAGUCAGCCACAGUCAUGCGCUCUUGUUUGACUAGGAUCAGUGAAUGCCAGCAAUAGUUGUCUCUCCCACACCCUUCUUCCGUUGGAAGCAAAGCUGAAAAACCACUCCUUAAUGAAAUAAUGAGAAUGAAAUCGUUACUAUCCUCAGGAAAAAUCAUGAACCCAAGUC